UUAUGCGAUGGAGAGAUUAUUAAUAAUCAAUAUAAAACUUAUCUGAUUAUCAAAAUUAAUAAUGUAAAAAAUAUGAACUGGUCUGUUGUACUUUAGAGAGACGUUUUGAAUAAUUUGAGUGACGGGUUUAAUCAUUGAUGGAAAACCAAAGACAUAAUCAUCCAAGUUUCAAUUUUAUUGUUUUUACUGAUUAAGAGGUUUUGGUUUGUAGUCUAGCCAUAUCGUAAGAGUAUCUUCAACUUCAUUUGUCAUUAUCUGAUAAAGUAAAACAUUAAAAUAAUUUAUUUAUUUUUGUUAUUUAUGUUACUUUUUAUUUUAAAAUGAAGGAUUGAAAUAAA
rnacentral:lncRNA from 1 species